rnacentral:rRNA from 1 species
GCGAGGCGGGAAGAGCUCAAAUUUGUAAUCUGGCACCUUCGGUGUCCGAGUUGUAAUCUCUAGAAGUGUUUUCCGCGUUGGACCGCACACAAGUCUGUUGGAAUACAGCGGCAUAGUGGUGAAACCCCCGUAUAUGGUGCGGACGCCCAGCGCUUUGUGAUACACUUUCAAUGAGUCGAGUUGUUUGGGAAUGCAGCUCAAAUUGGGUGGUAAAUUCCAUCUAAAGCUAAAUAUUGGCGAGAGACCGAUAGCGAACAAGUACCGUGAGGGAAAGAUGAAAAGCACUUUGGAAAGAGAGUUAACAGUACGUGAAAUUGUUGGAAGGGAAACGCUUGAAGUCAGACUUGCUUGCCGGAGCUUGCUUCGGUUUGCAGGCCAGCAUCAGUUUUCCGGGGUGGAUAAUGACGGUUUGAAGGUAGCAGUCUCGGCUGUGUUAUAGCUUUCCGUUGGAUACAUCCUGGGGGACUGAGGAACGCAGCGUGCUUUUUGCGAAAGACUCGUCUUUUUCACGCUUAGGAU